UUAUCUUUGGGUGUUAAGCACGUAAAUUUUUGAUAUUUAAGGGAAACGAAGUUUAAAGAUAA
rnacentral:tRNA from 1 species